rnacentral:rRNA from 1 species
UACAGAGGGAUGCUACCGGGCGACCGGAUGCGGAUCUCGAAAGCCUGUCCCAGUUCGGACUGGAGUCUGCAACCCGACUCCACGAAGUUGGAUUCGCUAGUAAUCGCGCAUCAGCCAUGGCGCGGUGAAUACGUUCCCGGGCCUUGUACACACCGCCCGUCAAGCCAUGGGAGCCGGGGGCGCCUGAAGUUCGUGACCGCAAGGAGCGACCUAGGGCAAAACUGGUGACUGGGGCUAAGUCGUAACAAGGUAGC